rnacentral:lncRNA from 1 species
CAGAGCGGUUCUGCUCGAAUCUUAUUCUCGCGCAGAUAGAGCUCCAACUCGUAGGUGGCUCCAUUGCAUGACCAUUUGUUUCUGCAAAUAGACGGAAAACCAGUUAUACUAAAGUAUGACUACAUAGCAUCAUUACUCAAGACUUUUUUAAAUCGAAACAUACCUUUCAAGAACUACUGACUCCAGAUCGGGCAUGGCGCGCAAAACAUCCUUGUCCAGAUUUUCCAGCAAGUUGUUCGACAGAUCCAGCUUGCGAAGUUGCGUCAAUCCCAAAAAGGUGUCCGCAUGCAAGUAAUCGAUUCGGCAGCCACUCAUAUUCAGGCUCUGCGGAACAUUUGCAAGAAAACAAAUAAGACCGUCAUUAAUAAAUUUGAUAAGUAACAUCAGAAUAUCCAUAGCAAAAAAUAAAAUAAUAACUAUCAUGAAGAUAGCAGCGGUAAAACUUUAUCGCACAAAAUAAAUCACCAUAAAUCAUAGAGCUAUAAUAAAAGAAGAAUUAUCUCCAUAAAGAUAUAACGUACCGUGAUCGUCGUGCUGUGGAGUUUCGGCACGUGGAGAUUGAACUUGUUACCGGCAAGAUUAAGGAUUUUCAGCUUUUUGUUAGAAUAAAAUGUGUCCGCAACUAUGUAAUCUAUACGGUUGUAGGACAAGUCGAGAACGGUGAGGUUCUUCAAAUGAACAAAGGCUUCCAGUCCGAUUUCGCCUAUGGCAUUCAUCGACAGGUUGAGAUACUUCAAUCUGGUCAUUCCCGCUUUCUGCAAUAGAAACAUAACGACAUAUUUCAUAAAUGUACGCUGAAUAGAAUGUGCAUGCGCAAAACUGGGCUAAGACGCUUAUAGCUAUUAUUUUCGAUCGAACAAUAAGCCAAGCACUCACGCAUAUAAUAACGACGCACUGCGAGUAAGUGCAUUAGAAAGUGUUCCAAACGCGAGUACGAAGCGCAUACUUGGAUAACAUUCUGAGAUUCUUCUGAGUAUUGGACAGAUGUUUUAAAGUUUACGCCUAAUCCUGUCAACUGCGAGGCCUAAUUUCCCCCGAAUAAAGAUCAAUAUCGCUGUAAUCUAAGGAAUCGAGCCGUAAAAGCGGUCAAUGCUGAUGUCGUAUUUAUCCUCUUAAACUGCGCUCUUAAUUUCCAAAUUUUCGUAUUGUCCUAUGUUGUUAUGGUCCCAUGUUAUCAUUGACUUCGGCAUCUUUCUGAUAAAAGCAAGCAAUUUAUUUACUCGCAGUGCGUCAUCUUUUGCAAUCGGACGCGCGGCGAUCGACUGUCUACAAUAUUUUACUGUUGCCGCUGCUGCAAAAAUAAAUCAGCGUUUCGUGGUAUCGAUUAGACAAUGCAAUGGGUAUAGCCCAGUCUUGUUUGAUCGGUAGACUAAUGAUCUUUUCCGAAAUCGGUACAUUUUAUUCUUCACUUAUAUACUAUCAUCUUCGGAAAAUGUACAGAAACGCGAUUUCAUUUUUUAAAUCUAAUUCCAUUAUAAGAUGAAAGUUAUAAGCUAUACAUAUGAGUCUUGGAUCUGUAUUCAAAAGUAUAUGUAAAAAAAAAAAAAUUACUUAAAACUGUUUGCAAACAAACAAGUAAAAAAUUUGUAUUAAACAAUCAUUUUGAGGUUAGAAUCGCUAACACGCUAGGUAUGAUAUACGGCCUAUAGAGAGGAUAAAAGCAACGCUUCAGCAAAGGCUCGGAUUUAGCAGAUUCGCCUUGGAUAAGAUUUCGUUUUGCAAAACCUAACCAGUUAUGCUAUCAAAAUUAUUUCUCGUUCCGCAGGCUACAUUUUAGGUACGAUCAGCUUUCACAAAGUCUUCGAAGAGGACAGAACAAUCAAAAGAAAAGGAAUACAAGUUUUGAAACAAGCAUUUAUAUUUGUGUAUUCAACAGGUAUCACAAUCAACUAGCGGACCGCGUAAACAUCGGGGUAGAGCCCAUUCCUGAGCAUCGCUUGUUCAAUUAGCAUCGGGAUCCAGUUACAAAGACAAGGGAAAAGAGCAAAGCCACUCACCGAUAAUUCCCGAUCAUCGAGCUUGCUGAUGGAAUUGUUGGAUAAAUCGAGAGCCUGAAUGUAACUCGGAGCACCCGUGUGGAUGCUGUAGAGUCGCUGACCGGUGCAGACGGCCGAGGGCAAGCCCAGCCACGUGCCGCACUCGCAGAGGCUGGUGCAUCGCCCUGGUUGCAGACUCAAAGGUUGGGCCAGCCCCACGAUGCCCGCCAGGACGAGCAACAGUUGUAUGCAGCAGGUCCGCCUCCUCUUCUCUCCCUCUCGUGUGAUCGCGAUCAAGUAUUCCACGACUCGCCGCUGCAGCAGCUGCAUGCGCCGCACACACAGACACACAGACACAGGCACUCAAGGCUCGGAUGCUGCGCCGCCGUUGAUGAACGACGCCGCCACGCUUCGCUCCGCUUCUCGAAUCUGAUGCUGCAGUCGCAUCUUUUCUCAGUUUUCGAGGAUUCUGUGGCUGCAGUCUUCGGCGAGCUGAAUUUGAGACUCCGAUUAGCAAGGAAUAAUUAAGCGCGACGGCCCACUGGACACUGCGCUACAGUCUAGUCGCUCUAUACUCUUACUCGCGCUCUUCGGCCGAGCGAGCCAACUACGUACAGGGCCUGCGAUCCGGUAUAAAAACACACCUGAACUGAAAGCUACUGCGGCUCUCGCUCAGCACGAGUCACGACCAUUUGGCGCUAUAUAGAAGAUAUAUACGUUUCCAAUUCUGCCAACCGCCAAGCCUACGCCCGCGAAAUUUGAAGUAAAUUUUUAUUAACUUUUGUAUCACCUGAUUUAGAUUUUCUUAUAUAAACGUUAGUUAUUCAAAUUACGCGCCAAAUGUAGAGACGUGUAAGCGCGGUGCUCGUGUUUCGAACCACAGAUAUUUUAGUACACCUUAGACUUUUUGUAGAGUUGGUGUACAAAAUCUCAAUUUAGAAAUGAUCUCAUUCCAUCACACUGUGUGCUCUGCAAAGCUUAUUACUUUUAUCAAGCUACGAAUACCUAGAUGAGGAUGAGCAUCAUUUUAUUGGUAUACGACUUAAAAGGCACGAAAUACAUUAACGCACAAUAGGAUAUUUUUAACAGUAUUUAUAUAAUAUUUAUUUUUUGCUACAGAAGCACAAGGCAAUAUAUUUGAAGCGUAUAAUAUAUAUAUAUAUAGUCUGAAGACAUGUCGAGAAUAAUGAUAAAAAUUGAUCCAUUCUUUGAAUGAAUUAAUAUAUUUAAUUUAAUAAAAGACACAAAAUAAUAUAUCUAAUCUAAUAGCUGCUGGAUCUUAUUAUUUGUAUGUUUCUUAAUUUUUAAUUUUAUUUACUUCUGUUUCUUUGUAUAGCCAAGGUAGGAAAGUGACAGGCACAACCUAUUACAUGUAUAAAUUCAGUACAAAGCGCAGUGCCUUUUGAAUUCACCAAUACCACGAUUUAAGAGCGGAUUAAAACUGAAAAA